GGAUCAGGGCUGUCACUCGCUCAAGACGUUGAUGCGCCACCGGGUGGACCCUUUUCUUAUCAGCAUGGGGAGUUGCGAUGGAUACCAAGAUGAAGACUCCUCAGCGCCAAUUAGUAUAGACACCUAAUUUUGUCCCUCCCAACGUUGAUUUUAUCCAUUUUUAGCUCACCUUACCACGUGUCCUCAUCCAUGUGAUCAUACCCCAUAAAAAUACAAAAAUAACAAAGUCCCUAACAAAAUUUUAUCUUGUUUUAACUAUCCUAACCACUUCUCCAAUUAAAAGCGGACACUUCACCAUCCCACACCCCUAUACCCGUGUUACCCCACCUCACCCCUAGGCAGCCCCCCUCCCUUCACGUUUUUGUUUCCUUUUGGACCAUAGACACCUCACAAUUUUGGGGGAGCCCCACAGAAAACCAAUUCACACAAUUCUUCACAUCACAACAACUAUAUACUCACAGAAGACCCUAUCAAUUCAUUGGGAUCACCAAGGCUUCUUCACAGAGAAUCAUGCACAAAAAGGCAGAGUUGACAUAGGCAUAAGCCUCCAUUUUUGUUCUUCUCUUCUACACCGUCACACACCAUACACCACACACAGAAUCAACCACGGAAACGGAGGCAUACACCAUUUUUUUUCUCUUCUUCAUUCACAAACACACCACACACAGUAACACCAAUGUAAGGGAGAAAUCGAGAGAGGAGGGAGAUAAAGAACGAAAGAUUCGAGCAAGAGUGAGAUCGUGAGAUCAGAGAGAGAGGGAGAAAGGCGACGGCAAGCUAAAAUCGAUCGGAGAGAGGUCGAAGGUUUGAUCGAAAAACGUAACUGACCGAAAAACCAUCUCCCCAGUCCUUUCCUUCACUGUUCUGGCCGAAAUUAUUGGAAUCCGUUGGGUAAUAUGACCAAAAUCGGCGACUAGUAGCGCCAGUUCACCCCUCCGUUGGAGUUUUCCAUUGUUCGUUUGAUUUAUUGAUUGAGGUUUACGAUUUUGAGGUUCCACUUGAUUUUCAAAUCUGUUUCGGGAUCAAAAUUCAACGCCAAAUGGGGUUUUAUUCAAGGUCGGUUUAAGUCGAGGUUUCGAAUCCAUGAGGGUCCACUAUUUGGUUGAAUAAAAGCGACAUUAAGGGAAUGCCUCGAAGGAUCUGUAUUGAUUUAUCCGGGGGAUGCCCCGAAGUACCUUGUACUUGGAAGAUGUUCUUAGUGAAGGCUCGAGGCGUCGGAUGAAGCAGUGGAGCGUAGUAUAGGAUUAAUCUAGAGUAGAAUAGAUUUAUAUUUUUGCAUUAUUUAUUCCUGGACUGUAUAAUUUGGACUGGACAUUAUUUUGGUUUUGAAUUA